rnacentral:lncRNA from 1 species
CUGUCAUUCCGACCGUGACUCAGUCAAGACUCAUCUCACACUUCCGACUGGUGAACUAUCUUUGGUACCAAAUGUAACGACCCGGCCCGCUAACAAUAAUAAUUUGUUGAGCCCAAACCACUGGGUCAAAAUGCUUAAGCCUAGCUAUUAUUAUUAGGAUAGAGUUCUCUUAUAUGUUCAAUGACAACCAAAUGUAACGACCCGACCAGCUAGCAAUAAUAAUUCGUUGAGACCAAACCACUGUGCCAAAAUGCUUAAAUUCAGUUAUUAUUAUUAGAAUAAAGUUCUCUUAUAUACCCAAU